GAUGAACGCUGGCGGCGUGCCUAAUACAUGCAAGUAGAACGCUGAAGUAAGGAGCUUGCUCUUUCCGGAUGAGUUGCGAACGGGUGAGUAACGCGUAGGUAACCUGCCUGGUAGCGGGGGAUAACUAUUGGAAACGAUAGCUAAUACCGCAUAACAUUAGAUGUUGCAUGAUAUCUACUUAAAAGGUGCAAUUGCACCACUACCAGAUGGACCUGCGUUGUAUUAGCUAGUUGGUGAGGUAACGGCUCACCAAGGCGACGAUACAUAGCCGCCCUGAGAGGGUGAUCGGACAAACUGGGACUGGGACACGGCCCAGAAUCCUACGAGAGGCAGCAGUAGGGAAUUUUCGGAAAUGGACGGAAGGCUGAACGAGCAACGACGCGUGAGUGAAGAAGGUUGUCGAAUCGUAAAGCUCUGUUGUAAGAGAAGAACGAGUGUGAGAGUGGAAAGUUCACACUGUGACGGUAUCUUACCAGAAAGGGACGGCUAACUACGUG
rnacentral:rRNA from 1 species